rnacentral:rRNA from 1 species
UACAGAGGGGGCAAGCGUUAUUCGGAAUUAUUGGGCGUAAAGGGCGCGUAGGCGGCUUGGCAAGUGGAUGGUGAAAUCCCUCGGCUUAACCGAGGAACUGCCGUCCAAACUGCUUGGCUUGAGACCGGGAGAGGUGAGUGGAAUUCCCAGUGUAGCGGUGAAAUGCGUAGAUAUUGGGAGGAACGCCAGUGGCGAAGGCGGCUCACUGGACCGGUACUGACGCUGAUGCGCGAAAGCGUGGGGAGCAAACGGG